CAUAUGCUACUUAUGCAUAGAGUUUACUACAAGACCUAUUGAUCUAAAAUCCAAAUUUCAAAUCCCUUCUGCUACUUUUAUCAUGUCCCUAGUGGUCAUAAUCUUAAGUUUGAUUCCACUUAUGCUACAUUUCUUAGUGAUCAUAAUCUAAGCUCUAAUAUACACCUAAGCUCUGAUACCAUUCUAUCAUAUCCUUAGUAAUCAUAACUUUAUGCUCAAAUACUCCUUAAAUCAUAGUUCUUAGAAAUCAUAAUCUUAGGCUUUGAUAUUAUUUUAUCAUGUCUCGAAUUUAGCACG
rnacentral:lncRNA from 1 species